rnacentral:tRNA from 1 species
UGGCACAUAGCUGCCAUUGAAAUGGUUGCGUACCGUCAUGGGGUGUCGGGGGUCGGAGGUUCAAAUCCUCUCGUGCCGACCA